ACAAACAAAAUGCUUCCAUUGUGUUGAGAGUAUAGGCAGAGAUAGAUAUCCCAAACCCUGGACAAAUACAACCAAAACUAUCUGUAUGAGUAGAUGCAACAACAGGUCAUCACACAAGACGAUGGUCCUUUAACUUCAUUGUUGCAGAAGAAGCGACGCCCUGCCAAUCCAGGAGCACAUAAAAAGACUAUUUCAUGAGGUUUUAAUAAAGAUCAGCUCUCCGCGGGAUCAGAAAACAGCAGAGGAGCAGGAUCGCUUAGAGAGCAGCCUGGCUGAGAGGGAGGAGGAGGCUUGGCGCAUGUAGCAGGAAUCCCACUCUGUACCUUUAAAGAACAUUUUCUACUCUUACUGGAGCAGGCCCGACCGGAAGUCCUUUGAGCUGCAUCGUAUGUAGUUAAAAACAGCUGCCUACAGAGUGGACCAGAGCUUCACCAACCCACACACUGCUCCACCCACUCAGCAUGGCGAGAUGAGGACACGCUGCUGGUGUGAAAGCUGAUAGAAUGGGGCUGCUCUAAACAAUGCCAGGCCAUCUGACACAGGCAUUUCACCACGUCAUCAUUUCCGUUGUUCAAGUUCAGGAUGCAGUCAAGCUUCCUCUUGCGGCAGCGCUGCGCUGCAAUGCGGUUCUUGCUCCGCCGCCUCACAUCGUGGAUGAACUCGAGCUGUUCCGAGGUCAGUUUGUGCAUUUUCACCAACAUUUGGAAGUCGUUCCGUGGAAGAUUUGUGAUUUGAUCUACGGGGAAAGGCAGCUUCACCUGGAAAAGGACAGAAAAGCCCAGACAUUGUAAUGAGCAUUAUAAAGGUGGACAGAAGUUCAUCUUUCUUUUGUACGGACUCUAGAGGGUGUAGAUAGAGUCUCCUCUCAUCCGUCGUUGCUUCAGUCUAUAAUAGCGGACUACACCAGCAGCAUAACGGCUCAUUUCGCUCACCACUGACUCCCACACACAGUAUAUGAUACCUGGAUUUCCACCAUCUGUGGUGAUCAGACUUGCUUCUUCAUGGGUCUUAUUUAUGUAUCUGAGGGGUGAACAUACCAGCCAUGAACCUUGGCGACAUGGAGUACAAGACAAGCUCACAGAUGUUUCUAGAGGACAGAAUUACUGGAUUGUUCUUUUUCAAAGAAUGUUGUGUCUUGUUAUGAACACUACAUAUUGGGACCAAAAUCAAUUGAUAGUAUAAUGAAGUGACUGUACAAAUAAGCCAGAAGAGUAGAUUUAGUAACACUUCAGAAGUCUGUAUUUGUUUUGGUGGCACACAUUGGCCUGUAUACUGUGGAGCUGCACGAUUCACAUCUCAAUUUCAAAACAAACAAUGACAAAAACAUGUCUAACUUGUGUCUGCUUUCUGAAUUU